GCCAGAUUAGAAUAUAGAUGACUAGUAAAGUUGUUCCGCGUGUCUUUGCCUCUAAAACUAAGGAACACAUCAUACAUAUAUAGUGGAGGAGGAGAAGAUGAAGAUGAGGUUAUUCCUUGCACGCUGGUGGAAGCCAUGAAAAUCCCUAUAGCAAUAAACUAGUACCGAUCCCUUCUGGCCUCAACUAGCUCGCUUGGUUCAGCAAUUGCUUUCCACGCUAUUUUGUGUAAGGCCUGCUCCUGUGCUCAAACAUGAAACAGAAGGUAAGAUCAAGAAAUUUGGCAAUUAAAUCUACCAAUUAGCAAUUUCAAGCUGGAACAUGUACAAUUCUACUUAGAAAUCAGAAAGCACCAAAUUUCUACCAA